rnacentral:lncRNA from 1 species
ACUCUCACUUUGUCUCUCACUAAUCUGUGGUGAUCCAACACUGUCUUCGGUCACUCCAUUGACCAUAACAUUUCUUUGCCUCAACUCCCCAAACGGAAGUCCAGAAACUGAACAAUUACUCUCAGGCUUCGGCAGCGUAACAGGUUCCUCACAUACCACAACACUGCUGCACUGAGCAACACUGUAACAGUAACCGUUAAAUUCCCCGACGGAGGAUGAGCGACCUAGCUGCUCGUCCGUGACGGAAUAUUCGGAAAGUGUGGAAUGCUCCGCGAUUCUCUUGUGCUUCUUCUUUUUCUUCUUCCUCUUGCGGUUUCCGGUAGGGCUUGUGGCGUCAUCAUUAGGCAGAAGCUGCGGAGGAGGAUCGGAAUUGGAUCGGAGGAGAGUUGCGGUGGAGGAAUCGUAAUCGUGAUCGUCGUCUAGGAUGGAAGUUGAGAGAACGUCAAAUGAGACCUUGCGUCCAGUUGAUCUCAACGCCAUUGAUGAAGUUAGAAGCUAUGGCGAUGGUGGCGGUUCAUGGAUGGUUGCUGAUCGGCGACUAAGAAAUGAGAAGGGAAUCGGCGGAGAGGGGAGGAGGGUGGCAGUGGUGAAGAUUUGGGAAUUUUUGGGUUGGGCUUUUGAUGACUUGCCUUCUUUCUCGGGAAAAUUUGUCCCCGCAUUUGUAAGAUAAAAUGUAUAUUUGGACUAAAAUAGCCUUCAAAACAGAACACUUAAACACCUGUAAACAGCUCCUAUGGAAACGCUUCCGCCGAUAAACCUGUACUCGGAUGAUGUACAAUUUGAUAAGGAGAUUGAUUACGAUUCUAUAUCAGGAUAUACUCUGUAUAUAUGGAAAGAUUCAGUUGGAUCUUUAAUGGAUUCAGAAUUUGAGCAAUCUGUACGACCCGAUUCCGAUGAGGAUGAUUUAUGUGAAUUUGUGAUUGCUGAUUACCCCAUGUUUGCCAUGGAAAGAAACUCGUGAAGCUUUUGUCGAAUACUUGAUAUAUUGGGAUGGCGCAGGUGGAUCUAUAAAGAAGAAAACUUUGUUGCGUAUAACUUUGCUGAAUUCGAGUAAAUUUGCUAUCUGUGUGACUCUCGAUAAAUUAAAAAAUAGUUAAACUUACCUGCUGUUAUUAAAAAAUAGUUACAAUUUUAAAAUUAGUCGAAAUUUAGUUAUUAUUUUUUAUAUAAAGUUAAAUUUGAACAAAAAUAUUAUUUAAAAUUCAAAAAAUAAUCUAGCAUAAGUAAAGUAUAUCAAUCCAGCAUAAUAUAUUAUAAGUUUAUAUACAUGUACCGAAACUUGAGUGUAUUAUGUUGGAUCGAUCUUUGUUGCAAUAAAAUAAUGACUAUUUUUCAAUAACUCAAUAAAUAUGAAUUAUUUUUGAAUGACAAGUCCAAAAACUGAAUAGCUCGUGUUGACAUCUGACUUUAACAAACAAAAUUGGGCUUUGGAUAUUAGUGAAGGGCCAGAAGCUUGAAUUAAUGGGGUUUUAAUACAGUUACUCAUAAAAAUAAAAUUAUUUAAUUUUGUCUACUUAUUUAUUUUUUUACUCAUAAAUUAAUUAUAUUUUAUACUCAUAGUAGAUUUGUGAGGAAUUUCUUUUUAUUCUCCAAUUCUUUUUUAUUCUAUGCUUCUUUGCUUUUCUUUUUUUUUUCUUUUUCUUUUCUCCUUUUCCUUUUUCUCGUUUUCCUUUUAUUUUUUUUGUUUUUCCUAUUCUAAUUAUAUUUAACUUCUUUUUUUAUAUUUUUUCUCUCUUCGUAAUCUAAUUCUUCUACUAUUUUUAUUGUUUUUUAUUAUUCUUUUUUUAUAUUAUUAUUAAAGAAAAAUCAAAAUUGUGUACUAAUUACAUAUACCUAAUACAAUCAAAAAAACAUUAACUAAUAUUUGAUACAUGUAUAGCAUAUAGUUAUACCAACAGGGUAUAUACUUUUUCUACUCAAAAGAGCAGAGGGUUUAUAUAUAUAUAUAUAUAUAUAUCAUUUACCAUAACAUUUCUUUGCCUCAACUCCCCAAACGGAAGUCCAGAAACUGAACAAUUACUCUCAGGCUUCGGCAGCGUAACAGGUUCCUCACAUACCACAACACUGCUGCACUGAGCAACACUGUAACAGUAACCGUUAAAUUCCCCGACGGAGGAUGAGCGACCUAGCUGCUCGUCCGUGACGGAAUAUUCGGAAAGUGUGGAAUGCUCCGCGAUUCUCUUGUGCUUCUUCUUUUUCUUCUUCCUCUUGCGGUUUCCGGUAGGGCUUGUGGCGUCAUCAUUAGGCAGAAGCUGCGGAGGAGGAUCGGAAUUGGAUCG